rnacentral:rRNA from 1 species
GAUGAAUGCUGGCGGCGUGCCUAAUACAUGCAAGUCGAGCGGUAAGGCCCUUCGGGGUACACGAGCGGCGGACGGCUGAGUAACGCGUGGGAACAUGCCCCAAAGUGAGGGAUAACGCACCGAAAGGUGUGCUAAUACCGCAUAUGGUCUUCGGAUUAAAGGAUUUAUCCGCUUUGGGAGUGGCCCGCGUACGAUUAGAUUGUUGGUGAGGUAACGGCUCACCAAGUCGACGAUCGUUAACUGGUCUGAGAGGAUGAUCAGUCAGACUGGAACUGAGACACGGUCCAGACUCCUACGGGAGGCAGCAGUAAGGAAUCUUCCACAAUGGGCGAAAGCCUGAUGGAGCAACGCCGCGUGCAGGAUGAAGGCCCUCGGGUCGUAAACUGCUUUAUGAGUGAAGAAUAUGACGGUAACUCAUGAAUAAGCACCGGCUAACUACGUGCCAGCAGCCGCGGUAA